GACGAACGCUGGCGGCAUGCCUAAUACAUGCAAGUCGAGCGAACAGAUGAAGUGCUUGCACUUCUGACGUUAGCAGCGAACGGGUGAGUAACACGUAAGGAAUCUACCUAUAAGCGGGGGAUAACAUUCGGAAACGGGGGCUAAUACCGCAUAAUAUCUUUUUCCGCAUGGAAGAAGAUUGAAAGACGGCGCUCCUGUCACUUUUAGAUGACCUUGCGGUGCAUUAGUUCGUUGGUGGGGUAACGGCCUACCAAGACGAUGAUGCAUAGCCGACCUGAGAGGAUGAUCGGCGACAUGGGGACUGAGACACGGCCCAAACUCCUACGGGAGGCAGCAGUAGGGAAUCUUCCGCAAUGGGCGAAAGCCUGACGGAGCAAUGCCGCGUGAGUGAAGAAGGCCUUCGGGUCGUAAAACUCUGUUAUAAGAGAAGAACAAAUUGUAGAGUAACUGCUACAGUCUUGACGGUAUCUUAUCAGAAAGCCACGGCUAACUACGUGCCAGCCGCCGCGGUAA
rnacentral:rRNA from 1 species